UUAAGGAGGCUCCCUGUCUUCUCUGACCCAGCAUGGACUGCCUAUUCUCACUAUUUGUUGUGGAAAGAAAACAUGCAUCUGUUCAGCUGUUCAACCUGAUGAGCUUUAGAAAUGCCUUAUUAACUGAUUGCAUGCUAAACAAGACAGUCUAUAUGGUAGCCAAUACCACCUGCUGUAAUUACAUCCUCCUGAGAAGUAAGAAUCCAUAUAGAUAAAACCAGGCAACAACUUGGCUACAAGAGGCCCUUGACUACAUUUUUACAGAAAUCAGAAAGACUGCAUAAGAGCUAACACAUCAUGCUGUGUAUGGAUCAGCUCAGCCACAGAAGUUAAAGAAAGCCUCCAGUCAGGCACAGAUUCAAGGAGCUAUGCAGAAAUGGAAAUUCUAUCCCCAUAUUUGCUGAGAUCUGUGUUGGUGUUCCAUGAGGUCUGCUGCAUAGCCAUCCCUGGGAGCAAGGAUGACCAGUAACUAAGAGGGAAAUGAUGACCUGUUAGACCUAACAUCUGAAUCCUGAAGCCUUGUAGCCUUGUCACUGAAGUGCCUUUCUGCGCAUCUCCUCACUCUAAAAAGUCUACACACGAAGGUCCAGCCUUUGCAGAGAAUAACUGUCCAGAGCCUGGAUCGUCUUCCACCUGAUCCCCGCUGUCAAUUUGCAAGCAGCGGCAUGAGCAAUUCAAGGCAGAACAGAAAAACAUACAAGUGCUGUGAAAAAGAAGAGGGAGGCGCUAACAGCAAGACCAGAGGUCAUCCACUGUGAAGGAAUUCUAAUUUACCAGUUUGAAAGAGAAGAGACCAGUGGCGUUGGACAGUCUGGAAAUCAGCAGUGAGAGCAGAGCCGUGGAAGUUUCCAGAGACAUUGACGGCAAGCAAGAGAAAUGAAGGUUAAAAAACUGAAAAUCAACAAGAAUCACGUAAAGCCCAGCAAAAAGAAAUGAAGUGUUUCAUUUCCAGGAAGACAAGCCCUUUGCAAGAACUCAAGAAGUACCUUCAGUCUAUCUGGGGUUAAGAUGUUUAGAUGGGUCAUCCAACUGAUUAACUCUCCCUCGGCAAGACUCAUCCCCACCUUUUUACAUCUUGGGCUCUACAAUACAGCGUAAGUACUCCUGAAUAACCACCACUGAAAGACACAUAUUAAUGCACAGGAUUUUGCAGAUCUAAGAUAUCACGAGUGAAUAAAAAGCAACAUUUUUUAAAAAAUCAUACAAUAAUAAUUCGUUAUUAUCCCUAAAGGUUGGCCUCUAGCAAUUUUUAAAACAGUCUUCAGGUGCCACAAGAUUCAUUAAUAAGGCUGACUACUGGCACGCUCACACAUGCACUCCAAUCUGGAAAUCUGGAGAGCUGACCUGCUAC